CCUACGGGAGGCAGCAGUGAGGAAUAUUGGUCAAUGGACGAGAGUCUGAACCAGCCAAGUAGCGUGAAGGAUGACUGCCCUAUGGGUUGUAAACUUCUUUUAUAUGGGAAUAAAACGUUCCACGUGUGGGAUUUUGUAUGUACCAUAUGAAUAAGGAUCGGCUAACUCCGUGCCAGCAGCCGCGGUAAUACGGAGGAUCCGAGCGUUAUCUGGAUUUAUUGGGUUUAAAGGGAGCGUAGGUGGAUUGUUAAGUCAGUUGUGAAAGUUUGCGGCUCAACCGUAAAAUUGCAGUUGAAACUGGCAGUCUUGAGUACAGUAGAGGUGGGCGGAAUUCGUGGUGUAGCGGUGAAAUGCUUAGAUAUCACGAAGAACUCCGAUUGCGAAGGCAGUUCACUGGACUGCAACUGACACUGAGGCUCGAAAGUGUGGGUAUCAAACAGGAUUAGAUACCCGUGUAGUC
rnacentral:rRNA from 1 species